AGUUUGCUGUGCUAAUUAAAACACAUUCAUAUUCACUUAUUCAAGUAGGUCCCCUAAAUAUCUGAACUGAGAAACACUUCAUUAGUAUAUCCUCAAUGAUUUAUAUAGUUAGCUAGAUUUUUCUUGUUGCUUCACUUCCUCCUGGAUAGUACCACAGGAACUUUGAAAAGUAAAUUAACUCUUUCAGGUCUUCAGGGCACAAUGUAACAUACUUUAGUGCUCAAUGUCAUUUAGAAUCUGUGCAGUGAACUAAAG
rnacentral:lncRNA from 1 species